rnacentral:lncRNA from 1 species
GUAAUAUUAAUAAAUAAAAUAAUUUUGUCAUUCAAAGUAUGACAAGAUACAUAGGUACAGAGUCACAUCAUAAAAUAAUUUUGUCGUUCAAAGUAUGAUGGGAUACAUAAGCACAGAGUUACGUCAAAAGGAUAUCUCAAAAAACAGACUUAACAGUAAAAGUAAUAUUAAUAAAGACAAAUAAAAGAAUAAUAUAACACGUUAUUAAGAUGAUAAACAACGUCAGUACGCAAAAUCUAUACUUCAAGACCA